rnacentral:lncRNA from 10 species
AAACAACUCAAAGCUCAGAGGAGGGAUCAUGUUUACUAUGUUCAAGAAAUAGCCAGAAAGACUGCGUGGCUGGAGCAGAGUAGGAUGAGGAAGAAAAGAAGAAGGGAAGAUCAGAGAGCUAACGGAGGGAGGAGGAGAGUACACAGAGGUCUUUAAAGGCCAUAUAAGAACUUGGACUUUUACUCUGAGUUCACAGCAGAGACCACAAGGGAAGAUGGACAGCCACUUGGGGACCACCUGUUACAGAUAAAGAUGCUUUGGUCUGGAAAGAGUUUAUUAAGCCACUUCUGUCGUGCAGCAAGGAAUUAAUAAACAGUUUUCAUGCCUA